UUGAAGCAAGGUGCUUGUUGCCAGGCAUUAUUAUAGGUGGCGCCGCUGUCAACAUGUGCAUGUGAAAACGAAAGUAGAUUGUUUAUCUAGGAAUUAUUACAACAUUUUACUCUUCUACGUUGAACUUUUAAGAUAUAAUAGUAUGAAUAUAGAGAUGAUUAUUUAGUUACCUUCAACUAGUCAUGACUGCAGUGCUCAAAAGGGAGUAUUUCUGUGUGUCUUGAAGCAUUGAAUGCCCCAAAACAACCAGUAUGAUAAGAAGGUAUUUUAGAACUCUUUUUCCUUGCCUUUCACAAAAUUACAAAACAUGUAACUGAGGAAUUGAAUUACCCAAGGAAGAUCUGAUAUGAAAUAAAAUUUUAAAACACUAAUUAUGCUCUAAUGUACACACAGAUUGUACCUUGCAUUUUUAUUUUUAUAGAGAUGAGAAGAUAGUUCAUGUAUAUAUUUGUUUCUGCACAAGAUUCAGAAUCAAUUUUCUAUCCGUUAUGACAAAAGCAGACAGAUUUCAUUAUAUGUCAUA